UAUCACACUAACUUUUCAUUUGGUCCUGUGUUGCAGUUUCAUCGGUGUUGUUUGGGAAUACAAUCCAUGUGGCUUAAGUUCCUCGAAACUUCAAUAGAAUUAAAAAGGUUUAUUGCUCAAGCUGUAAAUUACACUGGGACGACUAUUAGUUUUGCCUAUAUUGAUGAUGUAUUCGGCUUAAUUCCCUCCGAGGGAAACGAUAGGGGCCAUCAAAAUGGUGACAACCUAGAGCCCUCACACUCAGAUGAGAUACUCAAGGCUGAUGAAAAAUGCGAAGAAAUGUACAAAAUAUGUAACCCUUUUUAGUGUUGUCCAGUUCGCACGUUUACUCACUGCUGACCAGAGUAGAAAAACACCAGAUAUCUCUUGUUUGAACAUCUCCAUACUAGAUUUGUAGCCAGUGGACAUUAUCAUUAAUUGCAUAUAUGAGAAGAUUAUAUUUGUGUUCAGAAAAAUGCUUCUACUACCACUAAAAAAGCACGAGAGGACAAAUCCAACUGACAAUCUGGACCCUCUAAACACUUAAUCAAUGGUCUGGAUACUUCGUAACGAAAUUAAACAGUUUUCGUUAGCGCUAAUUGCACAACCCCACGCCGUCUCACGGUCUGGUUGUGAUUUAGUCGUGGUCUGCUCAAAGUUCACAUGGCAUCCUCAAAUAGGCAAAUCUCCGUGUAUCGCUAAAUGACCACCGCAAAAUAUCCAAGUGUCUACAACAUGUUAUUAUUUAUGUACUUCCCCGGCUUCUAAAUAUAAGUCAUUUUUAAGAUUCUACUACGAACUAUUUGCAGAUGUAUAUAGACAUAAUUUGGAGUGUAGAUUUAUUCAUUUUACUUCGUUAGUCUGUGGUAAAAUCCUUAAAAGGACAUAUAUUUAGGAACAGAGGGAGUAUAAAUUGAUCUUGGCAUAAGUGUACUAAUUGCUCGAAUCUUAGAUUGAGAGGUUACCAAUUCAAUCUUAUUAGGGGUUUUGAAAAUUGGUUGUGUGUAUUAUGUCCUGCAAAAUAUAAUGUAAUGGGAUUUCUCCUCUCCCUUUUCUUGAGAGAAGAGGGGUCAGCAAGGAAUCACCAACUAUGUAGUCUUUUUUUUAAAUCACAGUACGUGCGUUGCACGUACACGAUUACUAGUAUAUAUUAGGAGUUGGGCCUUGGCUGCCGCUAUUUAGGUUAACUUGAUUGCUGCUCUUUUUACCCGCAAAAAACAAAAG